AUAUUCAUUCCUAGUUUCUUCCUCUUCUUACACUGAGCCAUAUUUGCUAGUCACUUCAUCAACACUGUUGGUAAAACUUGCUAGAAACAAUUUUAUUAUCCAUGGAAGAAGACUCCCUUUUUUCUCUUGCCUAUUGGUCAGCCUUUCCAGAAGUAUCACAGUAGUUUUAGCUAAGCAGGUAUUAUAUCCUGUAGUGACUGCAGCAGCUGCAUGGUCCUUAACUAGAACAUUAGAUCGGGUUUCAGAAUUAAAACUCUUUGUUACACGUAGGUGGUUCUGGAAACACCUUAAAACAAACAAAAGCCAGUGGAGAGGAGGAGUUAAGGUAGGUGUUUGUUCAGAACUGCUAAAACACAGCCUUGUGGAAGAAAAAGCAUUGCUCUUUUCGAACUGGUAUCAGACGUGACAAAGCAACUCUGAUCUACUAGAUGGACUGUGGGUAGCACUAAACUGACUUUGCAUGCAGCAGAACCAAUGGGCAAAAUAAUAUACAGAUUGAUAUGUUGUGUAACAGGGAUUUCAUAAUACACAAUGUAAAUUAUUACAGCAUUAUCUUUCCAUUUUUUAUCUUAACUAAGAAACAAUCCCCCUUUGUGCCAAUGCUACCUCAUUUUUGAUUUGGCAUGUAGAUACUCCCACUACACAGCAACAAAAUAAGAACUCAGGCAUUAACCCUUACAGAUUGAGAUAUCUGUUUAAAUUUACAGCAGUCAACUUUUAUGCAACUGA